rnacentral:lncRNA from 1 species
UGAUAUCUUUAUUUCAUCAGUCAUAUAAGUUCAUUCUUUCAUUUCCUUUGUGAAGUAGGGAACAUACAUUAUAUACUGUAGCACAUGCUACGGAGACAGAAAAAAAUGAUCUACUUUUGAUUUUAUUUUGCUCAGUUGGAACUUUGCCUCCCUGCCUCCCCUGGGGGCAAAACCACACAAAACAACAAUAGCAAGUUUUAUCCAGAUCUUGGUGAGCUUUUGCUGAAAUUGCCAGUGCUGAUGUCUGGAUAUUGUGUAUAGUGAGCAGUAGGAGUAAAAUGAGAGAACUUCCUUUAAUUAGAUGUAGCCUGCCCAGAAAAGAAAGAGAAUUGUCCAUCUGGUCAGUCCUUAUUUAAUAGGACAGCCAAGGGUAAGAGUAUUCUUAAUAUGCAAAGACACCAUAGGCAAAAUUACUGAUUGACCAUGUUUAUUAAAAAUCCCAGAAAGCCAGAACUGUGCUAAAUUAAGAGGUGGUAAGACUUAGAAAGAAAGAAGCAUCAAGAAAGGAAUCCUUGCACUUCCUAAAAGAAAGAGUAAGCAAGUGAUGGGCAACUGUCAGGUCCCAACCAGCUACAUUGUAGAGACCUUUCCUUAGUUCUAGACAAUUGACAGAUCUUUCCCCUUCUUUGAGGACCUACACUAACUUAGCAAAGAAAGUGUGACAAAGUUGUUCUAAUACCCUUCAAUGAAAGUUAACGUUGAUGCAAUGAAGGAGUGCCAACAAGGUGCUCUAGCCAUUCCUAAUGAGUCUGAUGAUUUUAAGUGGCUCUGUUUUGAUCAGUGGGGACAUCUUGUGGAUUGCUAAUUCUUGGAAAUUGCAGAAAAUUUGGUCUUCUGAAAGCAAAGCUUUCUUGAGUCAUAACAGUUCUCUGAGAUCAUAAGGAGUGUUUGAAAACACUGAAUUGUAAAAGCAUAGAAUGUCCGCCUUAGCUGAGAUGAAAACAAAAGAUGUUUUAAAGAAUGUUAAAAAACUGAGGAGCUUGUACCAGGAUUGACUACACUUGUUUUCUUCAAGUCUGGCUUUCUGUAUGGGAGGAGUAGAGGAAGGAACUUUGCAGGCUCAGCUGGUGGAGUUCCCCAUCAUGUCCGUACAGUACAGUGUUGUAUAAAACCAAACCCCAAAACAGAUGAUGGUUUGCCAAGAAAAAUGAGGGAAAGUUUUAUAAGCCGAUUUUUCCAUUUC